rnacentral:rRNA from 1 species
CCUACGGGUGGCUGCAGUGGGGAAUAUUGCACAAUGGGCGCAAGCCUGAUGCAGCCAUGCCGCGUGUGUGAAGAAGGCCUUCGGGUUGUAAAGCACUUUCAGCGGGGAGGAAGGCGUUAAGGUUAAUAACCUUGUCGAUUGACGUUACCCGCAGAAGAAGCACCGGCUAACUCCGUGCCAGCAGCCGCGGUAAUACGGAGGGUGCAAGCGUUAAUCGGAAUUACUGGGCGUAAAGCGCACGCAGGCGGUCUGUCAAGUCGGAUGUGAAAUCCCCGGGCUCAACCUGGGAACUGCAUUCGAAACUGGCAGGCUAGAGUCUUGUAGAGGGGGGUAGAAUCCCAGGUGUAGCGGUGAAAUGCGUAGAGAUCUGGAGGAAUACCGGUGGCGAAGGCGGCCCCCUGGACAAAGACUGACGCUCAGGUGCGAAAGCGUGGGGAGCAAACAGGAUUAGAUACCCCGGUAGUC